UACGGGGGGAGCAAGCGUUGUUCGGAUUUACUGGGCGUAAAGGGCGCGUAGGCGGCCAGCACAAGUCAGUUGUGAAAUCUCCGAGCUUAACUCGGAACGGUCAACUGAUACUGUGCGGCUCGAGUUCGGUAGGGGAGACUGGAAUUCCUGGUGUAGCGGUGAAAUGCGCAGAUAUCAGGAGGAACACCGGUGGCGAAGGCGGGUCUCUGGGCCGUAACUGACGCUGAGGAGCGAAAGCGUGGGGAGCGAACAGG
rnacentral:rRNA from 1 species